GCGGUGUGCUCAGAGCAGCCAUGGCGGAGACUGUAGCCUGGCUGUUUAUACCACACCGUAGAGAAAAAACAUAU